rnacentral:rRNA from 1 species
AUUGAACGCUGGCGGCAUGCUUUACACAUGCAAGUCGAACGGUAACAGGCCUUCGGGUGCUGACGAGUGGCGAACGGGUGAGUAAUGCAUCGGAACGUACCCAGAGGUGGGGGAUAACGCAGCGAAAGCUGUGCUAAUACCGCAUGUGAUCUGAGGAUGAAAGCGGGGAACGAGCAGCAAUGUUUGGCCUCGCGCCUUUUGAGCGGCCGAUGUCGGAUUAGCUAGUUGGUGGGGUAAAGGCCUACCAAGGCGACGAUCCGUAGCUGGUCUGAGAGGACGACCAGCCACACUGGGACUGAGACACGGCCCAGACUCCUACGGGAGGCAGCAGUGGGGAAUUUUGGACAAUGGGCGCAAGCCUGAUCCAGCAAUGCCGCGUGCGGGAAGAAGGCCUUCGGGUUGUAAACCGCUUUUGGCAGGAACGAAACGGUGUCCGCUAAUACCGGGCGCUAAUGACGGUACCUGCAGAAUAAGCACCGGCUAACUACGUG